rnacentral:rRNA from 1 species
AGUGAACGCUGGCGGUAGGCCUAACACAUGCAAGUCGAACGGCAGCACAGUAAGAGCUUGCUCUUACGGGUGGCGAGUGGCGGACGGGUGAGGAAUACAUCGGAAUCUACUUUUUCGUGGGGGAUAACGUAGGGAAACUUACGCUAAUACCGCAUACGACCUACGGGUGAAAGCAGGGGAUCUUCGGACCUUGCGCGAUUGAAUGAGCCGAUGUCGGAUUAGCUAGUUGGCGGGGUAAAGGCCCACCAAGGCGACGAUCCGUAGCUGGUCUGAGAGGAUGGUCAGCCACACUGGAAGUGAGACACGGUCCAGACUCCGACGGGAAGCAGCAGUGGGGAAUAUUGGACAAUGGGCGCAAGCCUGAUCCAGCCAUACCGCGUGGGUGAAGAAGGCCUUCGGGUUGUAAAGCCCUUUUGUUGGGAAAGAAAAGCAGCAGGUUAAUACCCCGCUGUUCUGACGGUACCCAAAGAAUAAGCACCGGCUAACUUCGUG